UACAGAGACCUCGAGCGUUAUCCGGAUUCAUUGGGCGUAAAGCGUCCGCAGGCGGCCAAGUAAGUGAGUGGUCAAAUCUUCCGGCUUAACCGGGAAACCGCCACUCAUACUGCUCGGCUAGAGGCUGGGAGAGGCAAGCGGAACUGUUGGUGUAGUAGUAAAAUGCGUUGAUAUCAACAGGAACACCAGAGGCGAAGGCGGCUUGCUGGAACAGUUCUGACGCUCAGGGACGAAAGCGUGGGGAGCGAAGCAG
rnacentral:misc_RNA from 1 species